rnacentral:rRNA from 1 species
ACGGGAGGCAGCAGUGGGGGAUAUUGCACAAUGGGGGAAACCCUGAUGCAGCGACGCCGCGUGAGUGAUGAAGUAUUUCGGUAUGUAAAGCUCUAUCAGCAGGGAAGAAAAUGACGGUACCUGACUAAGAAGCUCCGGCUAAAUACGUGCCAGCAGCCGCGGUAAUGCGUAUGGAGCAAGCGUUAUCCGGAUUUACUGGGUGUAAAGGGAGCGUAGACGGUUAUGCAAGUCUGAAGUGAAAGGUGGGGGCUCAACUCCCAAACUGCUUUGGAAACUGUGUAACUAGAGUGUCGGAGAGGUAAGUGGAAUUCCUAGUGUAGCGGUGAAAUGCGUAGAUAUUAGGAGGAACACCAGUGGCGAAGGCGGCUUACUGGACGAUAACUGACGUUGAGGCUCGAAAGCGUGGGGAGCAAACAGGAUUAGAUACCCUGGUA